rnacentral:rRNA from 1 species
GGAAUAUUGCACAAUGGGCGCAAGCCUGAUGCAGCCAUGCCGCGUGUAUGAAGAAGGCCUUCGGGUUGUAAAGUACUUUCAGCGGGGAGGAAGGGAGUAAAGUUAAUACCUUUGCUCAUUGACGUUACCCGCAGAAGAAGCACCGGCUAACUCCGUGCCAGCAGCCGCGGUAAUACGUAGGUGGCAAGCGUUAUCCGGAAUUAUUGGGCGUAAAGAGCGCGCAGGUGGUUAAUUAAGUCUGAUGUGAAAGCCCACGGCUUAACCUGGGAACUGCAUCUGAUACUGGCAAGCUUGAGUCUCGUAGAGGGGGGUAGAAUUCCAGGUGUAGCGGUGAAAUGCGUAGAGAUCUGGAGGAAUACCGGUGGCGAAGGCGGCCCCCUGGACGAAGACUGACGCUCAGGUGCGAAAGCGUGGGGAGCAAACAGG